rnacentral:rRNA from 1 species
UGGGGAAUAUUGGACAAUGGGCGAAAGCCUGAUCCAGCCAUGCCGCGUGUGUGAAGAAGGUCUUCGGAUUGUAAAGCACUUUAAGUUGGGAGGAAGGGCAGUAAAUUAAUACUUUGCUGUUUUGACGUUACCGACAGAAUAAGCACCGGCUAACUCUGUGCCAGCAGCCGCGGUAAUACAGAGGGUGCAAGCGUUAAUCGGAAUUACUGGGCGUAAAGCGCGCGUAGGUGGUUCGUUAAGUUGGAUGUGAAAUCCCCGGGCUCAACCUGGGAACUGCAUUCAAAACUGACGAGCUAGAGUAUGGUAGAGGGUGGUGGAAUUUCCUGUGUAGCGGUGAAAUGCGUAGAUAUAGGAAGGAACACCAGUGGCGAAGGCGACCACCUGGACUGAUACUGACACUGAGGUGCGAAAGCGUGGGGAGCAAACAGGAUUAGAUACCCGAGUAGUCCCUGAGCGGGCUGGCAAGGCGCAU